GACGUAGGAGGCGAGCGUUGUCCGGAUUCAUUGGGCGUAAGAGCACGCAGGCGGUUUGGUAAGUCGGAUGUGAAAACCCGAAGCUCAACUUCGGGCCUGCAUCCGAAACUGCCCGACUAGAGGUAGGUAGGGGAGAUCGGAAUUCCGUGGUGUAGCGGUGAAAUGCGCAGGAUAUCAGGAGGAACACCGAUGGCGGAAAG
rnacentral:rRNA from 1 species